GAGGGUAUAGCUCAGUGGUAGGGCACAUGCUUAGCAAGCAAGAGGUCCUGGGUUCAAUCCCUGGUACCUCUU
rnacentral:tRNA from 1 species